GGGAACACGGAGCGCCAGGAGGAAGAGGAGGAAGGAGGGAGGAGCAUCACGAGCUUCCUGCCCGCGCUCCCGGCCCGCUGCGAGCAGGCGCCCUGGCCGCGUCGGCGUCUUCUUUCCAGCCCUCCGCCGCCGCCAAGGCACAGGCUCGCGUCUGGUCUGGGCGAACGGCCGGGCCCUUGGCGGGCGCCCUUCCCCCUCCUCGCCACGCUGCCGGUUUCGCCCUCCGCCCCGCCGCGCCUUCCCCGCCUCGGACGGGCGGGGCCCCAGCCGAGGCUCGUCUGUGGUGGAAAAAAACAGAAGAACUUGAAUUAUUCUCUGGAAAUUGCGUUCGCCAAUGAGUUUUGAAUAAAGCAUCUGGUGGACUGUUUUUACUUAAUUGGUCAUUGUUAACAAGCAUGGAGAUAAGAUUAGAAGUUUUAACCUCAACAAGCAUCAAGCAGAAAAAGCCCUGGCCACGAGUCUCCUGGUUGGGACAGGUAGGUUUUUCUUUCUUCAUACAGUACCAGCUGUAAUAAUGUGUUAAAUGUAUACUUUGCCUCUAAGCUAGAAUGUUCUAUGGUCUUAAACCACCAUCUUUAGAAGGAUCACGUGCUCACAGAACAGGAUUUUUGUGUUUGUUUUUGUUUUUUUACGGGAGCAAGUUAGCUUUUCCAGAAAGUUAAAUGGUCUAAAAGAAGUAUUUUACUUUCAAAAAAUUUUUUGUCUUAUUACGUUUAAGGUUGAGAUGGCAUAUA
rnacentral:lncRNA from 1 species